UGAGUAAUGUCUGGGAAACUGCCCGAUAGAGGGGGAUAACUACUGGAAACGGUAGCUAAUACCGCAUAACCUCGUAAGAGCAAAGUGGGGGACCUUCGGGCCUCACGCUAUCGGAUGUGCCCAGAUGGGAUUAGCUAGUAGGUGGGGUAAUGGCUCACCUAGGCGACGAUCCCUAGCUGGUCUGAGAGGAUGACCAGCCACACUGGAACUGAGACACGGUCCAGACUCCUACGGGAGGCAGCAGUGGGGAAUAUUGCACAAUGGGCGCGAGCCUGAUGCAGCCAUGCCGCGUGUAUGAAGAAGGCCUUCGGGUUGUAAAGUACUUUCAGCGGGGAGGAAGGCGAUGAGGUUAAUAACCUCGUCGAUUGACGUUACCCGCAGAAGAAGCACCGGCUAACUCCGUGCCAGCAGCCGCGGUAAUACGGAGGGUGCAAGCGUUAAUCGGAAUUACUGGGCGUAAAGCGCACGCAGGCGGUCUGUCAAGUCAGAUGUGAAAUCCCCGGG
rnacentral:rRNA from 1 species